CCAAUCAAACUGGGAAAUAGCUCGUACUCCCCGAAAUGCAUUUAGGUGCAGCCUGUGAUGUUCUGUUCCAGAGGUAGAGCUACUGGUUGGACGCGAGGGCUUCACCGCCUAUCAAAUCCGGAUAAACUCCGAAUGCUGGAACACGAAAUCAUGGAGUGAGCCCGCGGGUGCUAAGGUCCGCGGACGAGAGGGAAAGAACCCGGACCACCGGCUAAGGUCCCGGAUGGACAGUUAAGUUGAUCAAACGAGGUGGGAUCGCGGAGACAGCUAGGAUGUUGGCUUGGAAGCAGCCAUUCAUUUAAAGAGUGCGUAACAGCUCACUAGUCGAGCGAUCCCGCGUGGAUAAUACACGGGCAUUAAACUGUCAACCGAAGCCGUGGGGUUAGUUAAUGACUAACCGGUAGGAGAGCAUUCCUGCCAGCUUGGAAGGUCACCCGCGAGAGUGACUGGAGCGGCAUGAAAAGCAAAUGUAGGCAUAAGUAACGAUAAUGGGGGCGAGAACCCCCCACGCCGCAAGACCAAGGAUUCCCCGGCAAUGUCAAUCAGCCGGGGGUCAGCCGGCCUCUAAGGCUCACCCGAAGGGGGAUGCCGACGAGAAACGGGUUAACAUUCCCGUGCUUCUCGUCACCGUGACGCGGUGACGGGGUGAUGAAUGGACCGCGCGCUGACGGAAUAGCGCGUUGAAGGCCGUACCCUUUGACGGUGGUAGUCAAGCACGCCACCGGAGGCGAAAGUCGAUAGUACCUCGAGGCCUCGGCCGAGGGGAUAGCGUCCAGGCAAUUUACCCCCGAGAAAACCCGCUAAACUUCAAGUGACGAGGAACCGUACUGUAAACGGACACACGUGGUCGGGUAGAAUAUACCAAGGCGCUCGAGUGAUUCAUGGUCAAGGAACUAGGCAAAAUAGUCCUGUAACCUCGGGAAAAAGGACGCUCUAGUGAUAGAGCCGCAGAGUAAUGGCCCAGGCGACUGUUUACCAAAAACACAUGGCUAUGCCAAAUCGAAAGAUGACGUAUAUGGCCUGACACCUGCCCGGUGCCGGAAGGUUAAGAGGAGAGCUCAUCGGAAACGAGAAGGUUUGAAUUGAAGCCCCGGUAAACGGCGGCCGUAACUAUAACGGUCCUAAGGUAGCGAAAUUCCUUGUCGGGUAAGUUCCGACCUGCACGAAUGGUGUAACGAUCUGGGCACUGUCUCGACCAUGAGCUCGGUGAAAUUGUAGUUCCGGUGAAGAUGCCGGGUACCCGCGACGGGACGGAAAGACCCCGUGAACCUUUACUGCAGCUUCGCGUUGUUCCCGGGCACGGGACGUGUAGGAUAGGUCGGAGGCUAGGAGUCGGUUUCGCCAGGAAUCGAGGAGCCAUCGUUGAAAUACGACCCUUCUCUUGUCUGGGAUCUAACCCAUGGUAAUGGGGACACCGCGUGGUGGGUAGUUUGACUGGGGUGGUCGCCUCCAAAAGCGUAACGGAGGCUUCCAAAGGUACCCUCGGGUUGGUUGGUAAUCAACCUUAGAGUGCAAUGGCACAAGGGUGCUUGACCGGGAGACCAACGAGUCGAUCGGGUGCGAAAGCAGGGCAUAGUGAUCCGGUGAUCCCGCGUGGAAGGGUCAUCGCUCAAAGGAUAAAAGGUACUCCGGGGAUAACAGGCUGA
rnacentral:rRNA from 1 species